GGUUGGUAUCGUACGAGAAGAAGCCCUUCUGAACGGCUUCAUGAAAGCAUGUUUGUGGUUGAGCCCCUUUUGGGGCAGUCUGCUGAGUACCCCGUUGAUCAUCCUUCAUCGACGCAGUUGAGCCUCCCGUGACAUAGAAUUCUCUCUCUGAACUAUAUAUAUGUGUGCGCUCCCCUUCCAGUGAGAGAUUUAUUGUUAUUACUGCCUCAAGCUUGAACUUUUACUCUUUCCAUCUUUUCGAGUAUAACACUAUUAAGACUGUUGGACUAUAU
rnacentral:misc_RNA from 1 species